rnacentral:sRNA from 1 species
AAACAAACGAAAAAACUCCGCAAAAACGGAAUGUACCUGAGGGCCAGGGAAGCCACCAAUGGGCCAUCCAAGAGGCCAGUUCACAUCCUUCUGCAACAAAGUGUAUUCUUGUUCGAUUCCAUA